rnacentral:lncRNA from 1 species
AGUUUGAGGAAUGAGUUAGACUAGAAGAAAGGGACUUCAUAUAUUGAGUUCCUUUUUUUGCUCCAUGCAGUGUACCAAGCACUUUUAUGUGGUCUUUCCUUUAAUCCUCACUAACUACAGAUGUAAGAAGUGAAUAUUUCUUUUGCAAAAUGAGAAACUGAAGUUAGGAGGUAUUAAAUAGUCUGCCCAAAGUCACAGAGCUAAUAACUAUAAUUACAAUAGAGCUAAACCAAGCAGAAAUGUAAAACCAGUACUGUUUCAUCCAAAAACUGAUGUAUUAGGACUGCCUUCUGAAGAUAAAGUUGGAGAGACAGGGGUUAGAUUGUGAAAGUUCUUAAAGUCCAGGCUAAGGAGUUUGGACUCUGUCACAUGGAGAAUGAAGAGCCACUGAAAGAUGUUGGUGUUUUUGUUGUCGCUGUUUCUUUUUUCUUUCUCUCUGCCUUCUUUUUUUUUUUUUGAGUUGGAAAUGGAGGAAGCAUAGACAAAAGAGAGUAUUAACAAUAUAAGAUAACUGUUUAAUACAAACCAAUAUUCAUUUCUGCCUUUAGGUGUGAAAAUCCUUGAACCCACCGAAAUACCAGGAAUGAAAAUUCCAGAACCUUUUCCACUACCUGAAGAUAAAAGUCAAGGAAAUAUCAACAAUCCUACUCCAGGUCCAGUUCCUGUUCCAGGUCCCAAAAGCCAUCCUUCUGCAUCCUUGGGCAAAAUGCUGCUUCCACAGUUUGGGAUGGUCAUUUUAAUCAGUGUUUCUGCUAUAAAUCUCUUUGUUGCUCUGUAGUUCCCUGCAUUGUUUAUCUUUCUUGUUCUUUACUUGAAAUAACUAUAGGGAUCCCACAGGAGAUCAGAAGGAAUGACGUAUUUUUCACUUGUUGGCCAAAGUCACUGAUAAAAUGAGAAUUGUAUAUUUGUUAUUCAUUUUGCAAAUUCAGAAAGUUGGUCCAGAUAUAUGUUACAGAACUUUUCACUUCUAUACUAACUGAAAAAAAUCCCGAAAACUGUAUACUUCCGAUUGAAUUCAAUAAAAGAUUUUUAGAUAUUUCAGAAUUGCCAGUAU